rnacentral:rRNA from 1 species
CCUACGGGAGGCGGCAGUGGGGAAUAUUGGACAAUGGGCGAAAGCCUGAUCCAGCAAUGCCGCGUGAGUGAUGAAGGCCUUAGGGUUGUAAAGCUCUUUUACCAGGGAUGAUAAUGACAGUACCUGGAGAAUAAGCUCCGGCUAACUCCGUGCCAGCAGCCGCGGUAAUACGGAGGGAGCUAGCGUUGUUCGGAAUUACUGGGCGUAAAGCGUACGUAGGCGGUUAUUCAAGUCAGAGGUGAAAGCCCGGGGCUCAACCCCGGAACUGCCUUUGAAACUAGAUAGCUAGAAUCUUGGAGAGGUUAGUGGAAUUCCGAGUGUAGAGGUGAAAUUCGUAGAUAUUCGGAAGAGCACCAGUGGCGAAGGCGACUAACUGGACAAGUAUUGACGCUGAGGUACGAAAGCGUGGGGAGCAAACAGGAUUAGAUACCCUGGUAGUCCACGCCGUAAACGAUGAUAACUAGUUGUUCGGGUCACUUGGUGCCUGAGUGACGCAGCUAACGCAUUAAGUUAUCCGCCUGGGGAGUACGGUCGCAAGNUUAAAACUCAAAUGAAUUGACGGCUGAGACGNGCGAGACGACACGAGGGAGAGG